AUGAAGCGCUCCCCCGUCGUCUCCCAGGCCUGGCAGGGCGCCUCCGCCUCCUCCAGCGAAGCUAACCCUAACCCGGCCGUCGCCAAGGUCGUGCUGUCCCUCGACCCCCUCAGCGCCGCCGAGCCCUCCCUCCAGCUCAAGAUGGAGAUGCCUCAAACCAAGGAAACUAGCACUUGCAACAUACGAAGGAGUUGCUCCUUGAAUAUGUUGUCCCUCCUCCUCCAUCUCCUCGCCAUCGCCACCCUGCCUUGCUCUGCCAACAACGCCACCCAACUGGUCUAUGACACGGAAGGCAACGAGCUAAAUAGCAAGUCAAAUUACUACAUCCUCCCAGCUAAACCUGCGAGCGGUGGCGGCCUCAAAGCCGUCCCAACUGGUCUACGGUGCCUACAUUUUGUGGUUGAGGAGCGCAGCAAGGCUCUCUUCGGCACACCCCUGCGAUUCACGCCGCUACCAGAACACGCUUCAGCCAGUGAGCCGAUCCGCUUGUCGAGUGACAUAUGGAUCGAGUUCCAUGACUUGAGAAGCUUUUGCUCUGAAAGGCUAGAUUGGCACCUUACAGAACAGGUGCCGGAGUUGUCAUCAGGAGAGCCUAAACAUGUGGCCGCCGGCAGUGAAGAAGGCCUAAGAUCAUUUUGGGGUGUUCCGGGUUGA
rnacentral:rRNA from 1 species